rnacentral:tRNA from 1 species
UUAAUUGAAACCAAAAAGAGGUGUGUCACUGUUAAUGGCAUCAUUGGAUAUCGUCCCAAUUAAA